GGCAGCCUACCUCCAUUUUGUUUGUAUCUAAGCUGCUGUUGGGCCUUCCUGCUGCCAUAUAGAACUCUUAUUUGGCAUAUUCCAGCCCUGCACUUAAUAAGGCGAAAGGAAAUCAUUAGAGGAUGUGUGUGGGGGCAGGGAGGAACAGGAGCUUCCACUCUUUGCCCUCGUGUUGGUACCUCAGAGGCUUGGCUGUAGAACUGCGGUUUGGUUCUUGCCACAAUGCUCCACUUCUGUGCUUCUUAAGGGAAAGCAGGAGCAACUUGCUCAAAAAAGAAGAGAGACUGGAACUGCCAUCUGCCUCUACUUGGUGUGGAAGAGCCAAUGUAUACAAAGAUUUCCUGAUUCAGUUCCAAGGAGUGAAUUUCACACGUGAUAUGACUACUGGAAGCUUGCUUAUGCAGGAGUUCCACAUGUGCAUCAAGAAGUGAACAUGGAGCUCUGGGCCAAUGCAUCUUGAUCAGCAGCAGCCUGGCACUGAACACAUAAAUUGCAUGGUGCUGCUUACUCCCCCUUGAAUAAGCAUAGAUUCAGACCAACACCAGGAACAGGACAGACCACAUAAAUACUACCUACUGAUUUGUAAGGACACAGCUGGACUAAGGUCUUAAAGCUGAAAGAACAGAUUUACGUAUUAUCAGAGUACGAAUAUUCAAAAAGUCCUUCAAAGAAUUUAUGGCUAAUACAAGUCACAGGGACUGAAGCCAAUUUGAGCAGCCACCAAAGACAAAAAUAAUUGCAACAGCCUUGGCUUUUUGAUAAUUGCUUUUGGACUGCAACUGGGGGACUAAUGACAGCACAGUAGUUCUUUGAAAGAUUGUGGAUUGGGUUUCUCUGUGGGUAUGCCUGUGCCUGUUACUCUGUGUGUAUGCAUAUGUGGUUAAAGGAUCUUACAUUUUUUAGCACAUGCACACAUAAAUAAUGCAAAUCAAAGACUCAACGCAGUAAUAAAGAAGCAGAUUUACUUUUCUAUACUCAAAGGUAAUGCUUCAUAGGGGACAUUCAACAAAUACCUGGAGACAGACCCACAAUAACAAAAGAAAGUCACUUACUACAUUCAAUUUCAUCAGAGCCAUCAAUGCAGUCUUGGAAAGAAUCACAUUGCUGUUUUAUGAGGAUACACUGACCACUGGCACAACGAAAUUGAUUUGGGAGACAAAUCACUGCAAGGGAAAACACAAUGGAACAAUACUGUAUCAUUCUCAGCCCAAAUCAAACAAUGAAGAGAACACUACUAUGAAACUAGGUGACUUCUUAAAAAAUUAUCAACGUUAUACAAAUGCACAGAGUUGCAGUUGCUCUAUCUGCACAGUACCAAAUAUCGGCUUCAAUGUCAAACUUUUAGGAGACAAAGGACACAUAAAUAGUUCAUACUGUGUGUAGCACUGGUAUGUGCGAACGGCAGUAUCUGCAUUAGGCGACCAAUGAAAAACCAACCAGCCACAGUUCUUCAGUCAAGCACCCUAUGCAACCAAGGUGGCGUUUCUGAGUAAAAAAUGUGCCCACCAAAUUAUUUCCUGGGCUUGUAACUUUAUAAUGUUUAUCUUCAUAUAGUUCACAUAAUUACUGGAGGUGCUAGGGGAAAAAAGUAAAUCUGCUUGUGGUUUUAGAGAGAAAAAAUUAUCUCUAAACAGGACCAGUGCCAGGUAAGUUGACCACCUAACUCAUCCCUAAUCUCCAAAACAUGAUCCUACAAAAAAGAAAGAAAAAGGAGUCUAUAAAGUUGUCCUUCUUCUCUCAAAGCCUCUAUUGUCACUUGGGGUUGUUAGUUACAUAAACUAUGAAACAGGCAGCCCACAGUUGAUUUCCACAAAAUGAAAAGGGAGGGGAAGAAAUCAAUUGUUCAGGGGCCAUCCUAUAGCACUUUCAGAUGAAUAUGUUUGGGAGUGAUCAGUGCUAAAUCAGAGCACCAGUAACUUAUAAACCAUGUGUGGGUAGCAUCAGCAUGGGAGUCAGAAAUACCACUGCUUCAGAACAGUAGUUCUAAAGCCCCAUUAACAGCCAAUUAUUUCCAUUUGCACUUUGUGCUUCCCCACUAACACUGCUGAUUCCAGCAACAUCUAGGAGGGCAUUUACUCAGCUCCUGGAAUUAGCCCUGCAAAAAGCUAAGACGAAUGAUCUUACUAUUGCAAUCAGCUUCAUCAGAUUUAUCCUGGCAGUCAAUUUCUCCAUUACAUCUUAAACGUGCAUCAAUACAUUGUCCUUUCUCACACUGAAACUGGGCUACUGAACAUAUUGGACAGUUAUCUUCAUCGCUUUGAUCGUCACAUUCAGAAAAUCCAUCACAUCGCCAUGCCAUAGGGAUGCAGUCUAUCUCCCCAGUUGCACACGUGAACUGGUCUGGAGAACAUGUUGGAGGCUCUGGGGAAGUGAAUUAAAAAUGCACUUAUUUUAAAGUUUAUAAAAAAAUUAGACAUGGAAAAGCAUUUCCUCAUAUACAGGAUCAUCGUUGUACCAAGUUCUGUAAUAAUAUCAAAUUCUCUCCUUGUACAAGAUUUUAACAAUAUCAAGUUUCAUCUAAGGGUGGAGGAAAGGUCUAUGCCUAAACACAUAGAUCCCAUUAUGUUUAUGUCUGGCAGGAUCGCUCACUGGCUUUACCGGGUCAGCUGCAGUGAUGCCUGCCAGGGGUGAUGGGGCACCCAGGACGACGGAGUUUCCCAGUGUAGGCGAGGCGCCAGAGGCCGAUGGUGGCGCAGGCAGCCAGGAUUUUCCUGCUGAGAGGAGGCCUGGCCAUAGGCUGCCAAGCAAGGGCAGGGGAAGCAUGAGGCACGCAGCACGGAUGUCAACAGUGCGCCUUGAAAUGAAGGGAGGAAGCCGAGCAUGGGAGGGGAAGGAACAGGGGAAGGGCUUAACACAGGUUACUUGUGUGAAGGUAAUACAAGGGUAAAAAAGAGCGGUGGGGACCUAAUACAGGGGAGGAGGGGUUGGAGAUGUGAGGGGGCAUAUAAAAGGGAGAUGGCCGGUGAUAAAGGGGCAGAAGGAGAGAGUGUCAUAGACCUCUGGUGAGAGGCUGACACAGUGACCGCCAAGCUCCAAGGAGGAGGAGGACCGGAGUGAUAAGAAACCCCCUCCCCUUUGUAUUCUGAGGCCUGACCCUAAGUGCCUUUCUCAUAGCCAGAGUGGUGCAGACCCAUUCAGACAGUUUACUAUCUAAUGUUCUGGAUAGGAGGCAGGCACUACAAACUGUGGCUAACUAUGGCUCAACCCCAAGUUUUUGGCCUGAUACAGGAAUUGUUACAUGCAUAUCCAUAAUGUGAGUUCUUUAUGUGAUCAGGCAAAAUGAAAUUCCUAGCUGUUAAUAGUUUUGAAAUUUAUAAACUUGCUUUUUAAACAUGUA